rnacentral:rRNA from 1 species
GACGAACGCUGGCGGCGUGCUUAACACAUGCCAGUCGAACGGAAAGGCCCUGCUUUUGUGGGGUGCUCGAGUGGCGAACGGGUGAGUAACACGUGAGUAACCUGCCCUUGACUUUGGGAUAACUUCAGGAAACUGGGGCUAAUACCGGAUAGGAGCUCCUGCUGCAUGGUGGGGGUUGGAAAGUUUCGGCGGUUGGGGAUGGACUCGCGGCUUAUCAGCUUGUUGGUGGGGUAGUGGCUUACCAAGGCUUUGACGGGUAGCCGGCCUGAGAGGGUGACCGGCCACAUUGGGACUGAGAUACGGCCCAGACUCCUACGGGAAGCAGCAGUGGGGAAUAUUGCACAAUGGGCGGAAGCCUGAUGCAGCAACGCCGCGUGCGGGAUGACGGCCUUCGGGUUGUAAACCGCUUUCGCCUGUGACGAAGCGUGAGUGACGGUAAUGGGUAAAGAAGCACCGGCUAACUACGUG